AACGCACAUUGCGCCCAUUAGUAUUCUAGUGGGCAUGCCUAUUCGAGCGUCAUUUCAACCCUUAAGCCCCUGUUGCUUAGCGUUGGGAGUCCACAGGUUACCCUGUAGCUCCUGAAAACCAUUGGCGGAGUCUGGGAGCACUCUAAGCGUAUUAUACAUUUUUGUCUCGCUUUGGAUCUUGCCCCGCCUCCACGCCGUAAAACACCCCAUAUCAAAUGUUGACCUCGGAUUAGGUAGGAAUACCCGCUGAACUUAA
rnacentral:misc_RNA from 2 species